rnacentral:rRNA from 1 species
UGGGUAACCUGCCUGUAAGACUGGGAUAACUCCGGGAAACCGGAGCUAAUACCGGAUAGUUCCUUGAACCGCAUGGUUCAAGGAUGAAAGACGGUUUCGGCUGUCACUUACAGAUGGACCCGCGGCGCAUUAGCUAGUUGGUGGGGUAAUGGCUCACCAAGGCGACGAUGCGUAGCCGACCUGAGAGGGUGAUCGGCCACACUGGGACUGAGACACGGCCCAGACUCCUACGGGAGGCAGCAGUAGGGAAUCUUCCGCAAUGGACGAAAGUCUGACGGAGCAACGCCGCGUGAGUGAUGAAGGUUUUCGGAUCGUAAAGCUCUGUUGUUAGGGAAGAACAAGUGCGAGAGUAACUGCUCGCACCUUGACGGUACCUAACCAGAAAGCCACGGCUAACUACGUGCCAGCAGCCGCGGUAAUACGUAGGUGGCAAGCGUUGUCCGGAAUUAUUGGGCGUAAAGGGCUCGCAGGCGGUUUCUUAAGUCUGAUGUGAAAGCCCCCGGCUCAACCGGGGAGGGUCAUUGGAAACUGGGAAACUUGAGUGCAGAAGAGGAGAGUGGAAUUCCACGUGUAGCGGUGAAAUGCGUAGAGAUGUGGAGGAACACCAGUGGCGAAGGCGACUCUCUGGUCUGUAACUGACGCUGAGGAGCGAAAGCGUGGGGAGCGAACAGGAUUAGAUACCCUGGUAGUCCACGCCGUAAACGAUGAGUGCUAAGUGUUAGGGGGUUUCCGCCCCUUAGUGCUGCAGCUAACGCAUUAAGCACUCCGCCUGGGGAGUACGGUCGCAAGACUGAAACUCAAAGGAAUUGACGGGGGCCCGCACAAGCGGUGGAGCAUGUGGUUUAAUUCGAAGCAACGCGAAGAACCUUACCAGGUCUUGACAUCCUCUGACAACCCUAGAGAUAGGGCUUUCCCUUCGGGGACAGAGUGACAGGUGGUGCAUGGUUGUCGUCAGCUCGUGUCGUGAGAUGUUGGGUUAAGUCCCGCAACGAGCGCAACCCUUGAUCUUAGUUGCCAGCAUUUAGUUGGGCACUCUAAGGUGACUGCCGGUGACAAACCGGAGGAAGGUGGGGAUGACGUCAAAUCAUCAUGCCCCUUAUGACCUGGGCUACACACGUGCUACAAUGGACAGAACAAAGGGCUGCGAGACCGCAAGGUUUAGCCAAUCCCAUAAAUCUGUUCUCAGUUCGGAUCGCAGUCUGCAACUCGACUGCGUGAAGCUGGAAUCGCUAGUAAUCGCGGAUCAGCAUGCCGCGGUGAAUACGU